rnacentral:rRNA from 1 species
GACGAACGCUGGCGGCGUGCUUAACACAUGCAAGUCGAACGGACAGGCCCUGCUUUUGUUGGGUGCUCGAGUGGCGAACGGGUGAGUAACACGUGAGUAACCUGCCCUUGACUUUGGGAUAACUUCAGGAAACUGGGGCUAAUACCGGAUAGGAGCUCCUGCUGCAUGGUGGGGGUUGGAAAGUUUCGGCGGUUGGGGAUGGACUCGCGGCUUAUCAGCUUGUUGGUGGGGUAGUGGCUUACCAAGGCUUUGACGGGUAGCCGGCCUGAGAGGGUGACCGGCCACAAUGGGACUGAGAUACGGCCCAGACUCCUACGGGAGGCAGAAGUGGGGAAUAUUGCAGAAUGGGCGGAAGCCUGAUGCAGCAACGCCGCGUGCGGGAUGACGGCCUUCGGGUGGUAAACAGCUUUCGCCUGUGACGAAGCGUGAGUGACGGUAAUGGGUAAAGAAGCACCGGCUAACUACGUG